AAGCCUUGCAAGUAUUUAUUACAUCCACACUUACUUUUACCAGAUAAGCCUGUCAUCUCAUCAAAGAAUUUUCAACAAGACCUGUUUCCAGGAUACUACAGCAGUUAAUGCAUCUAAGCUCUUUUGAAAACAUGCCAGAGCUUCUAAGUGUAUUUAAACCAUAUAGGUACGUGGAUGAAAAAUGUCAGGUUUGCAGGCAAUUAGAUAUAAUGCUAAACACAUACUGACCUGCCUGUGAUGUUCUGCUCUAAUUCUGCGGGAAGAAGUGGUGGCAGCCAUUGCUUCAAACCAUUAGUCUUCAUUUGAAAGAGUGGGGGAUGCAUAUCAAUACUUGUAAUCACCUUUGUGGCACCAGGGAGGCAAAGCUGUAAAAAGUAAGUACUUUCGUAAUGCUGAUAGAGACAGGAGAAAAGAAUUUUACUGUGUCCUCUGGCCAAGCUCUCUUAGGCCCACCAAAUAAAAUUACUGUUAUCAGUCACAUAAAUUUUGAAUGGACCCUGAAAUCAG